GACAGAGGGGGGCAAGCGUUGCUCGGAAUUACUGGGCGUAAAGGGUGUGUAGGCGGUUCUCUAAGUUUGGUGUGAAAUCUCCCGGCUCAACCGGGAGGGUGCGCCGAAAACUGGAGGGCUAGAGUGCGGGAAGGGAGAGUAGAACUCCUGGUGUAGCGGUGAAAUGCGUAGAUAUCAGGAAGAACACCGGUGGCGAAGGCGGCGCUCUGGACCGAGACUGACGCUGAGGCGCGAAAGCGUGGGGGAGCAAACAGG
rnacentral:rRNA from 1 species